rnacentral:rRNA from 1 species
CCUACGGGAGGCAGCAGUGGGGAAUAUUGGGCAAUGGGCGCAAGCCUGACCCAGCAACGCCGCGUGAAGGAAGAAGGCUUUCGGGUUGUAAACUUCUUUUCUCAGGGACGAAGCAAGUGACGGUACCUGAGGAAUAAGCCACGGCUAACUACGUGCCAGCAGCCGCGGUAAUACGUCGGUGGCAAGCGUUAUCCGGAUUUACUGGGUGUAAAGGGCGUGUAGGCGGGAAAGCAAGUCAGAUGUGAAAACCAUGGGCUCAACCUGUGGCCUGCAUUUGAAACUGUUUUUCUUGAGUACUGGGGAGGCAGACGGAAUUCCUAGUGUAGCGGUGAAAUGCGUAGAUAUUAGGAGGAACACCAGUGGCGAAGGCGGUCUGCUGGACAGCAACUGACGCUGAGGCGCGAAAGCGUGGGGAGCAAACAGGAUUAGAUACCCCAGUAGUC